rnacentral:rRNA from 1 species
GCGGGACAUAGCUCACGGAAAGGUGAGGUAAUUUCCCAUAUGUUCCGAUUUAUCGGAAUCAAAGAUGCAAAUCACUUAAGGAGUGGCGUACUCGCUACCAGCUAGUUGGUAAGGUAACUGCUUACCAAGGCUAUGACGGCUACCGGCUCUUAGCGGAGAGUCCGGCGCAAUGGGACUGAGACACGGCCCAUACUUCUACGGAAGGCAGCAGUUAGGAAUUUUGCGCAAUGGACGAAAGUCUGACGCAGCGACAUCGCGUGUAGGAUGAAGGCCCUCGGGUCGUAAACUACUUUUAUAACAAUAUGAAGUUGUUUUGAAUAAGCAACUACUAACUACGUGCCAGCAGUCGCGGUAAUACGUAGGUUGCAAGCGUUACCCGGUUUUAUUGGGCGUAAAGGGUCUGUAGGCGGUUUUUUUAGUCCUAUUUCAAAGACUUCGGCUUAACCGGAGAAAGGGGUAGGAUACUGGAAGACUAGAGUUAUAUCGGAGUUACUGGAAUUUGUAGUGUAGGGGUUAAAUCCGUGGAUACUACAAAGAACACCAAGCGCGAAGGCGGGUAACUAGGUAUGUACUGACGCUAAGAGACGAAAGCUAGGGUAGCCAAUCAGAUUAGAGACCUGAGUAGUCCUAGCCGUAAACACUGUCCGUUAAUUCUUUUUCACUUUGUGAGAGGGGAUGCAAGCUAACGCGUUAAACGGACCGCCUGGGGAGUAUAGCCGCAAGGCCGAAACUCAAACGAAUUGGCGGGGAGGCGCACAACCAGUGGAGCAUGUGGUUCAAUUCGAUACGAAGCGAUGAACCUUACCUGGGUUUGAAAUGUACCUGCAGGCCUGAUGAAAGUCGGGCGGCCUUCGAGGGUGGUACACAGCUGUUGCAUGGCUGUCGUCAGCUCGUGGCGUGAGUUGUUCUCUUAAGUGAGGUAACGAGCGCAACCCCCAUCGUAUGUUAAUUUUUCAUACGAGACUGCCUAGCAUUAUUUUGUUAGGAGGAAGGAGGGGACGACGUCAAGUCAUCAUGAUGCUUAUAUCCAGGGCUACACACAUCCUACAAUGGAAAGUACAAUGGGUUGCAAUACCGCGAGGUGGAGCUAAUCCCUUAAAACUUUCCUCAGUUGGGAUUACAGGCUGAAAUUCGCCUGUAUGAACUUGGAAUUGGUAGUAAUCGCAAAUCAGCAGAUUGCGGUGAAUACGUUCUCGCCUCUUGCACACACUGCCCGUCAAAUCAGCAAAGUUGAGGGUACCCGAUAGUCCGUUCUUCGGACCUAAGGUAAAUUCAGCGAUGAGGGUUAAGUCGUAACAGGGUA